GAUGAGAACGCAGCGUAAUGCGAUAAGUAAUGUGAAUUGCAGAAUUCAGUGAAUCAUCGAAUCUUUGAACGCACAUUGCGCCCUCUGGUAUUCCGGGGGGCAUGCCUGUUCGAGCGUCAUUAUAACCACUCAAGCUCUCGCUUGGUAUUGGAGUUCGCGAUCUCGCGGCUCCUAAAAUCAGUGGCGGUGCCUGUCGGCUCUACGCGUAGUAAUACUCCUCGCGAUUGAGUCCGGUAGGUUUACUUGCCAGCAACCCCCAAUUUUUACAGGUUGACCUCGGAUCAGGUAGGGAUACCCGCUGAACUUAAGCAUAUCAAUAAGCGGAGGA
rnacentral:misc_RNA from 1 species